rnacentral:rRNA from 1 species
UACAGAGGUGGCAAGCGUUGUUCGGAAUUACUGGGCGUAAAGCGCGCGUAGGCGGAUCUGCAAGUCGGGGGUGAAAUCCCGAGGCUCAACCUCGGAACUGCCUUCGAUACUGCGGGUCUCGAGUCCGGGAGAGGUGAGUGGAAUUCCUAGUGUAGAGGUGAAAUUCGUAGAUAUUAGGAAGAACACCAGUGGCGAAGGCGGCUCACUGGCCCGGUACUGACGCUGAGGCGCGAAAGCGUGGGGAGCGAACAGG